rnacentral:rRNA from 1 species
GUGAGAACAUGCCUUUAGAUUGGGGACAACAGUUGGAAACGACUGCUAAUACCGAAUGUGCCUUAGGGUGAAAGAUUUAUUAGUCUAGAGAUUGGCUCGCGUCAGAUUAGCUAGUUGGAGUGGUAACGGCACACCAAGGCGACGAUCUGUACUUGGUCUGAGAGGAUGACCAGGCACACUGGAACUGAGACACGGUCCAGACUCCUACGGGAGGCAGCAGUGGGGAAUUUUCCGCAAUGGGCGAAAGCCUGACGGAGCAAUACCGCGUGAGGGAGGACGGCUUUUGGGUUGUAAACCUCUUUUAUCAGGGAAGAAUCGAUGACGGUACCUGAUGAAUCAGCAUCGGCUAACUCCGUGCCAGCAGCCGCGGUAAUACGGAGGAUGCAAGCGUUAUCCGGAAUUAUUGGGCGUAAAGCGUCCGUAGGUGGUUUAUCAAGUCUGCUGUCAAAGCGUGCGGCUUAACCGCAUAAGGGCCCGUGGAAACUGAUGAACUAGAGUGCGAUAGGGGUAACCAGGAAUUCCCAGUGUAGCGGUGAAAUGCGUAGAUAUUGGGAAGAACACCAGCGGCGAAAGCGUGUUACUGGGUCUGCACUGACACUGAGGGACGAAAGCUAGGGGAGCGAAAG